UAGGGAAUCUUGCGCAAUGGGCGAAAGCCUGACGCAGCAACGCCGCGUGGGGGAUGAAGGCUCUCGGGUCGUAAACCCCUUUCAGCAGGGACGAAGAUGACGGUACCUGCAGAAGAAGCCCCGGCCAACUACGUGCCAGCAGCCGCGGUAACACGUAGGGGGCGAGCGUUGUCCGGAAUCAUUGGGCGUAAAGAGCUCGUAGGCGGUUCGGUAAGUCGGGUGUGAAAGCUCAGGGCUCAACCCUGGGAUGCCAUCCGAUACUGCUGUGACUCGAGUCCGGUAGGGGAGCACGGAAUUCCUGGUGUAGCGGUGAAAUGCGCAGAUAUCAGGAGGAACACCAGCGGCGAAGGCGGUGCUCUGGGCCGGUACUGACGCUGAGGAGCGAAAGCAUGGGGAGCGAACAGGAUUAGAUACCCCCGUAGUCC
rnacentral:rRNA from 1 species